UUUUGGCUACGGGACGCAGCAGUGGGGAAUAUUGGGCAAUGGGCGCAAGCCUGACCCAGCAACGCCGCGUGAAGGAAGAAGGCCCUCGGGUUGUAAACUUCUUUUGUCAGGGACGAAGAAAGUGACGGUACCUGACGAAUAAGCCACGGCUAACUACGUGCCAGCAGCCGCGGUAAUACGUAGGUGGCAAGCGUUAUCCGGAUUUACUGGGUGUAAAGGGCGUGUAGGCGGGACUGCAAGGCAGAU
rnacentral:rRNA from 1 species